rnacentral:rRNA from 1 species
AUUGAACGCUGGCGGCAGGCUUAACACAUGCAAGUCGAGCGAGCGGCGGACGGGUGAGUAAUGUAUGGGACACUGCCUGAUGGAGGGGGAUAACUAAUGGAAACGGUAGCUAAUACCGCAUACAAUCAGAUGUGCCCAAAUGGGAUUAUGUAGGAGGGGGGGUAAUGGCUCACCUAGUCGACGAUCCCUAGCUGGUCUGAGAGGAUGACCAGCCACACUGGAACUGAGACACGGUCCAGAAUCGUACGUGAGGCAGCAGUGUGGAAUAUUGCACAAUGGGCGCAAGCCUGAUGCAGCCAUUCCGCGUGUGUGAAGAAGGCCUUCGGGUUGUAAAGCACGUUCAGCGAGGAGGCGUUACUCGCAGAAGAAGCACCGGCUAACUCCGUGCCAGCAGCCGCGGUAAUAC